rnacentral:rRNA from 1 species
CGCGUAGGCGGAUUGGAAAGUUGGGGUGAAUCCCGGGGCUCAACCCCGGAACUGCCUCCAAAACUCCCAGUCUAGAGUUCGAGAGAGGUGAGUGGAAUUCCGAGUGUAGAGGUGAAAUUCGUAGAUAUUCGGAGGAACACCAGUGGCGAAGGCGGCUCACUGGCUCGAUACUGACGCUGAGGUGCGAAAGCGUGGGGAGCAAACA